GCGCCAGUGAUGGAAGGUAAACCAGUUGGCCGAAUCAGAAAGCUCUGUUCACCUGAGGCUCCUGCUUCUCAAUGUCUUUUUCUGGAAACUGGGAUAGAGAUUGUAUUUUUUGGUUGUUUUAUUUCGAAGAUCCAGGAAAUCAUACCUGGAUGAGAUACUCGAAGAUCAGAGCCAGGCUGCUCAGGGUGGUGAUGGUGGCCAAGGUAGAGAAGAUGGACAGCACCUGUGGGUUCUGGACGAGUACCAGAAGGAUGAGGAAGGGCAGGAUGGUGAGCAUAUAGAAGCGAGUGUCCAGGAUGGACGUCAUCACCAGGCUCUGCCUAGGCUGGCAGACAUUGGAGGUGAAGUGAGCUUCUUCCACGAUCUACCAGAACAAUACGGUGAAAGGCAGGGCGUCAAUUGUGAAUAACUAAGAUUCACUUAGGAUUUCAGCUCAUCAACUGAUAACUUACUGCCACAGCAGAAAAGACACUAUUCCUGACUUGUGUGACGUUCCAAUCCAGCCAGAUGCCAUUUUUGGGUGCUAGAGGGACUGCUUAGUGGUUAAAAAACACUGGUUGCUCUUACAGAGGACCUGAGUUUAAUUCCCAGUACCCACAUGGUAGCUCACAACUCCAGGAGUGCCAAUACCUUCUUCUGACUUUCAUGAGUAUGUAGUGCACAUGUAUUUAUGCAGGCAAAACAUUCAUGCACAUACAAUAAAUAAAUCCUUAAGACACCUUUAGAUUCAUUUCAUUUGAUUGGCAUGAAAUGUUUUGCCUGUACAUCAUGCACAUGCCUGAUGCUGGGAGAGGGCAAAAAAGGAAGUCAGAUCUCCUGGAACUGGAGUUUCAGAUGACUGUGAGCCAUCAUGUGGGGGUUGGGAACAUAACCCAGGUCCAAAUCCUUUGAAAGAACAACAAAAGCUCUUCACUGCUGAGCCAUAUCUCCAGCCCCAUUGAUAUGUGUCUUCUGUGUGUCUGUGCACUCAUACAUGUGUGUUUCUGGUAGUGUGUGUGUGGGGUUGGGGGGCUCCAGAGGACAAAAUCAGUAAUGUUCCUCAGGUGCAGCCCUUCUUGCUUUUUGAGAUAGGGUCUCUCAUUAGCCUGGUUACUGGGCAAGUUAGGUUAGGCUGGCCCUCCAAUGAGCUGCAGGCACCCAUCUAUCUGCCUCUUCAGCAUUGGAAUUACAGUAGUACCAGAAGAGGGCAUCGGAUCCCAUUGCAGAUGGUUGUGAGCCACCACAUGGUUGGUGGGAAUUGAACUCAUUACCCCUGGAAGAACACUCUGUGCUCUUAACCACUGAGCCAUCUCUUUAUCCCAAGCCUGACUUUUGUUUUUUUAAUAUGUGAGUCUUGGAAGAUGGUACCCAGGCCCUUGGGUUGGCAAGACAAGCAAUUUACUGAAUGAGUCCUCCCUUCACCCACACUUUUUUUUUUUUCCUUUUUCUUUUUUUCGGAGCUGGGGACCGAACCCAGGGCCUUGCGCUUCCUAGGCAAGCGCUCUACCACUGAGCUAAAUCCCCAACCCCCACCCACACUUUUUGAGACAGGAUCUCAUGUAUCCUUCAGAGUUGGCCUCAGACUUGCUAUGUGGGUGAGAAUGGCCUUGAACUUUUGAUCAUUCUGCUUCUACCUUCCAAAUGUUGGUGUUAUGGAUAUGAACCUCUGUGUCCGGUUUUGGGUAUCCUUCAUCUUAUUGGGCAAACCUAGCCGCCUUAAACUGUAGUGUGUGUGAUUCUGACGAUGGGAAACACUGAGCAUUGUAAAACCCAAAGGCUCAAUGCUCUCUUUGUCCGAUAGACAAUCUCUUCCCUGUGAAGUGGUGGUUUCCUUGCUCACAUGACUAGAAAAGGGUUUCUGUUAUGCAAGCACGUCCUUUUUAGACUCUGUGGGUGAAGUGGGGCUGGGCUGGGAAUUGAGCAUCCUCUGCUCAGACGGUCUCUUACAAGGCUCCCUCUCUUCCCGCCCAACCAGGUGUGCUCCUCUGUGUCACAAUCUGUAAAAGGCUCUGCCUGACUUGUCUUACAUUAGGAAUGAGAUGAGGGGAUGGUGACAGACAGCUCGUUAGACAUUUUGGAUGUGACAACCUGUGAUGCUUUCAGCCCGGAGGCUAGGGGCUUUAGCUUUGCUCUGGUCCCAACUGUGGUCCAAAUGUGGGCAGACAGGCUAUGGUGCCAGUAACAGCCCCAGCAUCGGGAGGUCUGGUCUUCUCCCGCUCUGCCCAGAAGAUCCCUCUUUACCUGUUGUAAAUUGUCUGCCAUAAACAUGAAGUACACACUGCAGAAGCCCAGCUGAGUGACGAUGAGCAGGAAGCUUACGACGUACCUGGGAAGGAAUAGGAGAAUGAGAGAAAUAAGUCCUUGUUUAGGGUGGGUUUUAUUUUCAAAACAUUUAUUUCUGAUCGUCUUACUUUGAGAAAUGUCAGCCCCUCAGAACAAAGUGAUAACACAGUAGAAGUUAACAGCCAUAAACUCUGGCUUUACAGAGUUAGUUUGCUUUCUGAGAUAGGGCCUUGUGUUGCCCAGGCUGGCCUCUGGUUAGCCAGGUUGCCAAGUGUGACCUUGAAAACCUGAUUUUCUUGCCUCUACCUUCUGAUAGUGCUGGCAUUACCACAACCACCCAGCCCACAUUCAUUCACUCUAAUGAAAUUCAAUUUGGAGUUACCUUUGGCCCCAAGUUACAUUCUGGAUAUUACAUUCACAACAUACACACACACACAAACACACCACACACACCACACACACACACACACACACACACACACACACACACACACACCCCAAAAGCACUCAGAACCAUUCCAAUGAUAACUUCAGAAGUCAUGAAACAUCUACCUGAAUAUUUCUCUUAAUCCUUAAUAGACAGAAAUCAACUAACAUCAAAUAUAUAAUUUAUAUAUCUUAAUUAUCUUACAAAUAUCUUUCUUUGGAGAGGGCAUAGGCUCAUGAGGCCAAGGCUAACUUUAAACUUCAUAUGUAGCCCAGGCUGCCCUUGAAUUCCUGAUUCUCCUGACUCCACCUCCCAAGUGCUGGGAUCGCAGGGUUGCCGAUAUAGGUGACUUAACUUUGAUUUUCCAAAGCUCUGUGUUGCGUUUGGCUGUACCCCUUUUUUGUCUUCUUUUCCCACGAGGAAUAUUUUUGCAUGCACUUGUACCAGUUUUACAUCAGGUCAUUUGGGAGAGUCCAGGUUGGCUUUCUUAUAAACUGUCAACAUGGUGUGCUUGUGUGACUACUGCCUCCAGAUGAGAGUCGUUGGGCAGACCACAGAGGCAGCAACACUCUUCCUCUUUCCAUACACCGGGGACAACGGUCUGUUGUCCUGUGGUUUAGGAUCUCUUUUUAUACAUGCACCUCCUCCCACCCACACUAUGAAGCGGGAUCCAGGCAAGCCUAUGCAAUGCACUUAAUUACAGUGCUUAGAUUGGAAAAAAUUACCACAUUCUUCCUGCUGUGGGGUUUUGUUUGCUGCUUUCUGGUACUGGGGAUUGAACUAAGACUUUAUGCAUGCUAGGCAGGUACUCUAUCUUUGAGCUACACCCCAGCUCCAUUUUCCUUGCAACAUUUUACUUUACGGUAGUAACGAGUUGGCAGACCAUCUGUCCAGUCAUCGUGUCCUAUAUUCUAGGCCAGACUGGCUUUCUUGUGCAUCAUAUGUCUUAGUCUCUCAUCCCUGAGUGAGCCAAUCUCAGGCCAAAAGGUUUGAUUAGAUGACAUUUCUUCACUGAUUUUUUUUCUGGUAAGAGAAUCUCAGAGUGGAUCUUUAUGUCCUCCGUAUCCACAGAAGACACCUGUGUCCACCUUUAUGUCCUCCGUAUCCACAGAAGACACCUGUGACAUGGGUUGCUAGGCGCUCAGCUUGAUGCCCUGGGCAGGGGCACCAGGGCUCUCUCCUUUAUAAAGUUCAGCACCAGUUUUUCAUCCAAAGCCUGAGCACUGGUGAUUGUUAUAUAUGUGGGGCAAGCGGUUCUUAUUCAUGCCUCUGAGUUCCUCUCAGUGUGCUGAGAAAGAAGAAUCUCUGGUUGAAGUAAGGCUCCCUUCCCCAGAUAUUUUUAAAUUUCUUCAGUUACUGAUCUCCAAAGUAAUGGGAAAAUGGAAUCCCGGUGGGUGGAAAGUAGAGAUCUUGAGUUCUAGUCAUUGCUCUGACAAAUUCCUGUGUGGCUUUGAGCUACUUGGUUGCCUUCUCUGAGCUGUGUAAUUUUCCAUCUCAAUAGGCAUGGAUACAGUGAUGUCAAGGGCUACUACUGCCCUACAUAUCUACUGAAGAUGUCAUCAGACAACGAUCCUGACCUCAUCUGGCUGAUAUUGAGAGAUAACGUGCCAACUGAGGAGCCUGAGGUAGGCAGUGUGGAAGGCACCGCAGCUGCUGAGGUGUUGACUCACUGCCUGAAGAACUGUCCUAGAAGGUUGCAUGGAAGGUCUCGGGAUGUCUUUGUCCCACCAUUAUUGAGGUCUUUUGCACCUUUUAUGUGUUAUUUUAUUGUGAGAGCUUUGGUUACUCCUUCUUUCUAGGGCAGUAUAAUCUUAACCUGGAGUCCUAUUCAAGAUUGGUAAGAUGAUAGGAGAUGCUUAAACAGAAAAGCAUUUUGAACACCAUCAGCUUGUGUGCAUGCACGCAUGUGCGUGCUGUUGAGCCUCCAGCUGUGCUGCUGAACUGCAUGCCUAGCUCUUUUAAAGUCCUGCCACAGGAGUCUCCCUACAUCACUGUGUCUUGAAUUCACGUGGGCUUUGAGCUCUGUGUAUCUCUGACAGCCUUCUGGGAAGGUGGCUGUUCUAGUUUCCUCUAUUGAUGUGACAAUACACUCUGACCAAAAGCAACAUAGGAAAGGAAGGGGUUAAUUUGGUCUUACACCCCAGCUCUCAAGGCCCUUCACUGAGAAAAGUUAGGACUGGAGCACAAGGUAGGAACCCGCAGCAGAACUCAUGGAAGAGUGCUUCUUCUAAAUGGCUUGCUCCCAAGUUCAUAAUUAACUAGCUUUCAGAUAUAGACCCAGAGAAUGAUGUUGUGGACUGGGCCUCACUACAUCAAUUAAGAGUCAAAACAAUUACCCACAAGACCAUCUGAUCUGGACAAUUCCUCAAUUUAGGCUUUCCUCUCAGUUGACACUAGUCUGUGUCAAAUCGAUGAUUAAAGCUAUCUGACAGUGGCAGGACAGUCCUGUGCUACCGGGAUUGGCUCACCAUUAGCUUCUGCACCUUUUAUAUGUUAUUGUGAGAGCACUGGUCACCCUGUUUUUCUAGGGCAGUGAAAUCUCUCCCUGAAGUCCCAAGCAAGGUGUGAUGGGGCAAAGGUUUCUCCAUCUUGUAUCAGUUGAAGCCAUCUUUGGUUUCUACACACUGCCCUGAAAAGUCCCACAGGAAAACACCCAACCGUGUUCUAGAAAUGGAGGGUUAAAAUAACCCAGCUAACUGCAUGCUCUUGGUAAAUGCUUGCUUGCUUGCCCCUAAAACUGUGUCCUAAAAACUCCAUGUAAUGUACAUUUGGGGCUGCUCUGUGAGAAGUCUCAGUCUCUCUCUCUCUCUCUCUCUCUCUCUCUCUCUCUCUCUCUCUCUCUCUCUAGGCAGUCACCAGCAGGUUUAAUACAGACUCUUGAUUUG